rnacentral:rRNA from 1 species
GGCGAACGCUGGCGGCGUGCCUAAUACAUGCAAGUCGAGCGGACGAAUCGAAAGCUUGCUUUUGAUUCGUUAGCGGCGGACGGGUGAGUAACACGUGGGCAACCUGCCCUGUAGACGGGGAUAACACCGAGAAAUCGGUGCUAAUACCGGAUAACACGAAAUGUCGCAUGACGUUUCGUUGAAAGACGGCGCAAGCUGCCGCUACAGGAUGGGCCCGCGGCGCAUUAGCUAGUUGGUGAGGUAACGGCUCACCAAGGCGACGAUACGUAGCCGACCUGAGAGGGUGAUCGGCCACACUGGGACUGAGACACGGCCCAGACUCCUACGGGAGGCAGCAGUAGGGAAUCUUCCGCAAAGGACGAAAGUCUGACGGAGCAACGCCGCGUGAGCGAAGAAGGCCUUCGGGUCGUAAAGCUCUGUUGUUAGGGAAGAACAAGUAACGCAGUAACUGGCGUUACCGUGACGGUACCUAACGAGAAAGCCACGGCUAACUACGUG